rnacentral:misc_RNA from 1 species
UCUCCGUUGGUGAACCAGCGGAGGGAUCAUUACAGAGUCUAGUACUCCCAACCCUUUGUGUAUAUACAUGUUGCUUGGGCGGCAGCCAGUGGGGAGACAGGUGGGCCUCGGCCUGCAUGUCCUGUCCCAGUGGCCCGUCAGGGGACCAAAUUAGUUAGUCAGGGCAUAGUCUGAGCAUGUGGGAGAUGAAUACAAGUCAAAACUUUCAACAACGGAUCUCUUGGUUCUGGCAUCGAUGAAGAACGCAGC